UUAUGGCCAUAUCAAUUUGAAACACUGGUUCUUGUACGAUCAUCGAAGUUAAGCAACGUCGGGCCCGGUCAUUACCUAGAUGGGUGACGGCUUAGUGUAUACCAGGUGCUGUAAG